rnacentral:rRNA from 1 species
UACGUAGGGUGCAGGCGUUAAUCGGAAUUACUGGGCGUAAAGCGUGCGCAGGCGGCUCCUUAAGUCAGAUGUGAAAUCCCCGGGCUUAACCUGGGAACUGCGUUUGAAACUGGGGAGCUGGAGUGUGGAAGAGGGGGGUGGAAUUCCAGGUGUAGCAGUGAAAUGCGUAGAGAUCUGGAGGAACACCGAUGGCGAAGGCAGCCCCCUGGGCUAACACUGACGCUCAGGCACGAAAGCGUGGGGAGCAAACAGG